UACGGAGGGUGCGAGCGUUGUCCGGAAUUAUUGGGCGUAAAGGGCGCGUAGGCGGCCUGGCAAGUGGAAGGUGAAAUCCCUCGGCUUAACCGAGGAACUGCCCUCCAAACUGCUUGGCUUGAGUCCGGGAGAGGUGAGUGGAAUUCCCAGUGUAGCGGUGAAAUGCGUAGAUAUUGGGAGGAACACCAGUGGCGAAGGCGGCUCACUGGACCGGAACUGACGCUGAGGCGCGAAAGCGUGGGGAGCAAACGGG
rnacentral:rRNA from 1 species